rnacentral:lncRNA from 1 species
GUGCUGAGCUUGGCUCGCUCUCUACUCCGUAAGUUAGCUGGGAAUGACUUCCAGAGCCCCGCUGUGCUGCUUCUGCUCUUGCAUUUGCAGGAAUCGCAGCAAGAAUAAAGGAUCCACCCAGGGCUGCUAAACACAGACUUAACCCCUUGGGAGGGGUCAGAGCUACAAGUCACCACAAGGACUGAUGCUGCUGUACAUGCAUAAUGACACAGAAAGCCUAGAGGAUAGUUUUACCGUGCAGCUGACAGAUGGCAAGCGCACAGUCCAAGGGACACUUUACAUCUACAUCAUGCCAGUCAACGAUGAAAUCCCUCAUCUUUCCAGGAACACACACACAAAACCUUUCAGGAGUCAGGUCGUCUCGCUUCAGUAACUACAACAUAAUAAUCAGAAGCUGGAAAAAAUUACAAGGAAGCCAGAGAAGGACUCUUCAUCAGGAACUGUAUGGAUAGGAC